rnacentral:rRNA from 1 species
GUGCAGCAGCCGCGGUAAUACGGAGGGCGCAAGCGUUGCUCGGAAUCACUGGGCGUAAAGCGGACGCAGGCGGAACGUUAAGUUGGAUGUGAAAGCCCCGGGCUCAACCUGGGAACUGCAUUCAAAACUGGCGUUCUUGAGUUCAAGAGAGGGUGGUGGAAUUCCUGGUGUAGAGGUGAAAUUCGUUGAUAUCAGGAGGAACACCGGCGGCGAAGGCGGCCACCUGGCUUGAUACUGACGCUCAUGUCCGAAAGCGUGGGGAGCAAACAGGAUUAGAUA